CAGUAGCCGCGGGAAUACAGAGGGUGCGAGCGUUAAUCGGAUUUACUGGGCGUAAAGCGUGCGUAGGCGGCUUUUUAAGUCGGAUGUGAAAUCCCUGAGCUUAACUUAGGAAUUGCAUUCGAUACUGGGAAGCUAGAGUAUGGGAGAGGAUGGUAGAAUUCCAGGUGUAGCGGUGAAAUGCGUAGAGAUCUGGAGGAAUACCGAUGGCGAAGGCAGCCAUCUGGCCUAAUAAUGACGCUGAGGUACGAAAGCAUGGGGAGCAAACAGGAUUAGAUACCCCCGUAGUCCCUGUCUCUUAUAC
rnacentral:rRNA from 1 species